GCUGACGAGUGGCGGACGGGUGAGUAAUGUCUGGGAAACUGCCCGAUGGAGGGGGAUAACUACUGGAAACGGUAGCUAAUACCGCAUAACGUCGCAAGACCAAAGAGGGGGACCUUGGGCCUCUUGCCAUCGGAUGUGCCCAGAUGGGAUUAGCUAGUAGGUGGGGUAAAGGCUCACCUAGGCGACGAUCCCUAGCUGGUCUGAGAGGAUGACCAGCCACACUGGAACUGAGACACGGUCCAGACUCCUACGGGAGGCAGCAGUGGGGAAUAUUGCACAAUGGGCGCAAGCCUGAUGCAGCCAUGCCGCGUGUAUGAAGAAGGCCUUCGGGUUGUAAAGUACUUUCAGCGGGGAGGAAGGGAGUAAAGUUAAUACCUUUGCUCAUUGACGUUACCCGCAGAAGAAGCACCGGCUAACUCCGUGCCAGCAGCCGCGGUAAUACGGAGGGUGCAAGCGUUAAUCGGAAUUACUGGGCGUAAAGCGCACGCAGGCGGU
rnacentral:rRNA from 1 species